rnacentral:rRNA from 1 species
UGAAUACGAGACGCUAAGGCGUCGAAGUAGUGUAUGUCAUACUUCCAAGAAAAGCUUGCACUGUCAUAGAUAAAAAACGCCUGUACCAUAACCGACACAGGUGGGUAGGUAGAGUAUACUAAGGGGCGCGAGAUAACUCUCUCUAAGGAACUCGGCAAAAUAACUCCGUAACUUCGGGAGAAGGAGUGCCUUAUUAUUAAGGCUGCAAUAACAAGAUCCAAGCAACUGUUUAUCAAAAACACAGGUCUCCGCUAAGUCGUAAGACGAUGUAUGGGGGCUGACGCCUGCCCAGUGCCAGAAGGUUAAAGAAGUUGGUUAGCAUUUGCGAAGCUGAUAACUGAAGCCCUGGUGAACGGCGGCCGUAACGAUAACGGUCCUAAGGUAGCGAAAUUCCUUGUCGGGUAAGUUCCGACCCGCACGAAAGGCGUAAUGAUUUGGAUACUGUCUCGGAGAGGGGCUCGGUGAAAUAGACUUGUCUGUGAAGAUGCGGACUACCUGCACCAGGACAGAAAGACCCUAUGAAGCUUUACUGUAACUUGAAAUUGAAAUUGGACUUUAUUCGCGCAGCAUAGGUGGGAGGCGUUGAUUAUAAUCUUGUGGGAUUAUUGGAGCCAUCAGUGAGAUACCACUCUUGUAACGUUAGAUUUCUAACUUUGAAUCAUUAUCUGGUCAAAGAACAGUUUCAGGCGGGCAGUUUGACUGGGGCGGUCGCCUCCUAAACGGUAACGGAGGCGUACAAAGGUUUCCUCUGAACGGUUAGAAAUCGUAUCUAGAGUGUAAAGGCAUAAGGAAGCUUGACUGUGAGACCUACAAGUCGAGCAGGGACGAAAGUCGGUCUUAGUGAUCUGACGGUACUGAGUGGAAAGGCCGUCACUCAACGGAUAAAAGUUACUCUAGGAUAACAGGCUGAUCUCCCCCAAGAGUUCACAUCGACGGGGAGGUUUGGCACCUCGAUGUCGGCUCAUCGCAUCCUGGGGCGGUAGUACGUCCCAAGGGUUGGGCUGUUCGCCCAUGAAAGCGGUACGCGAGCUGGGUUCAGAACGUCGUGAGACAGUUCGGUCCGUAUCCGGUGUAGGCGUUAGAAUAUUGAGAGGAGCCUUCUUUAGUACGAGAGGACCGAGAAGGACAUACCUCUGGUGUACCGGUUAUCGUGCCAACGGUAAACGCUGGGUAGCUAUGUAUGGAGUGGAUAACCGCUGAAAGCAUCUAAGUGGGAAGCCCACCUCAAGAUAAGUAUCC